AGCUCCAAUAGCGUAUAUUAAAGUUGUUGCAGUUAAAAAGCUCGUAGUUGAAGUUGUGUACGUCGGAAUGGUGUGGCGAUUGUCAUGUCAACCUGUCGUAUAUUUCUCAGUUUUCUGAGACUGUUACUUUGAGGAAAUUAGAGUGCUCCAAGCAAGCUUUGCUUUGAAUACUUCAGCAUGGGAUAACAUCAUAAGACUUUGGCUUUUGUUGUUUGUUCUGUGGCCAAGGUAAAGAUUAAUAGGAACGGUUGGGGACAUUCGUAUUAAGCAGUGAGAGGUGAAAUGCUUAGAUCUGUUUAAGACGCACUAAUGCGAAAGCAUUUGUCAAGGACGUUU
rnacentral:rRNA from 1 species